CCAAGCUAGUAAGAGCUUUGCUAAGCGGGAAUUUUGGGUUGAAGCUGCUCUUCUCAUAUUUCACAGAUGGCCUCAAUGAAUGAUUUACUAGGAGAGUAAAAGAUUAGCCAGAUUCCCCCAACUGCAUCUCAAGUCGUAUAAAGCACUGGAUUUUACUGGUGCCUAGGCAAUUCCUAAUUCUUUAGCCUCGUUAGACUGUUUUACAGUGACUAAUUGCCCUGUACUCUCUUCCCCAAGAAUCAGGUGUCUCUUGGUGAGGAACCCACGCUCCCUGCACAAGCCUCACCAGUGGCUUCGAAACAGCCGUGCCAGUGAAGGCUUCUCUAUAUGGUCAGGAACCCAAAGACUACAAGAUGUUACAUCUCUAGUUGUAUUUUAUUGGAGAGAUGCACCGAAUGGAUGCCUGGGAUCCUGACAUCUUACUCUGAAAAGGAAUCGGGGCUGUGACUCCAGCCUUUCACUGUGUAUCCCGCCGUGGUUGCGUGUUUGGAAGUCUGUGGCAAUGGAUCCCGUCUGAGCGUGGCCAGGACCGCAGCAGCCCCAGCUCGCUCACCGGCACAAGGGUGAUUGCUCAGCAGCAGAGACGGGCAAGGAAAGAAAAUCUGGCUGGUUGUUAAUUUGAAAGCAUUUACAGUGGUGAUGGCAUAAUAGAUAUGAAAGUUCACAGGACUCUGGCAACUACUAAUGUAUUGAGACUUUCAGAUGAAAAAAUGAAAGCUGCCUGUAAAGGAUUCCCAUUUGUCAUGAAAACCCCACAAUACCACGGGACAGCUGUUUGCCUGGGAUCUGUAUCUCAGACUUAAGGAACCAGAACAGACAUGUGCUCUGUUGUACAAAGACCAUAACACCAGAGACAGAGCAGCUCUGGAGCAGCUGUUAGCUACAGGCUUUCCGCAGGCUGAGGUCUCUGGGUCAGAAACACGCUACCUUCCACCAGCGCGUCCCCCGGAACUGCUCCCCAUAUCGGUGAUCUGUCUUCAGGCAAGGUGAGUUCCAGGUUUCAAAGUGCUUUAGCUCAGUUUGUGACUCAGAGGCUGAGGUCAACUCAACCGCUUGCUGCUCCUGCAGGAGAGAGCCAUCAUGUCUGGAGACUCAGCACUGUCCCCUGUCACAUCUCAGCUGAAAAUAAUGCCGGCUUUGUUGCAAGGAGCUAUGCUUGGCUGCUGCAUGCUCACCGCCAAGUUGCAUAAGCCGCUGCUCCUGUGCAUUUAAACACAGGCACCUUGUUUUCUUUAAGGUGGUGCAAGGUCUUCCUUUUCCGACAUCUUCAGGUGUGAAUUCAUGUAAGUGCAACCCACGGCUUGUAGAGCGCCCAUGGCAGGCUGAGACACCAGGGCUGAAAGAGGACAAUCUUGACUUUGUUGUUGCUAAAGACAGAGAUUAUUUUUAAUGUAAAAGUUAUUGUCUCAGGCAGCCUUCAUCUCACCAGUGCACAAUUGCAGAAUGCUUUGAAUUAAGUUUGGAGGCUAAAAGUGUGUUAGUCAUUGCCCAUACAUCUUAAGGGAAGCAGGGCUCUCUAAAGUUAUUGUUAGCAUCAGGCAUCUGGUUUAUGUUUAUAAUGAUUUAUUCAAUGAUGGGAGACAGGUAACGAACCAUCAUGGAAGACAAACUAGAAAAGACUGGGGUUUUCUAAGCACUGAAGCCAUUGUUAAAUCAAAGUUGUCUGACUUCAGAAGGAAUAUAUAACUUGAUUAGGUUCUUUAAACAACGUACAAUGCUCAUGAAGUUGGCAGAUAUCAUGAGAGGCAGAGUUGGUAGCACAGCCUGCUCUGGAGGUUGCU